GACGAACGCUGGCGGCGUGCUUAACACAUGCAAGUCGAACGGUGAAAGCGGAGCUUGCUCCGCUGGAUCAGUGGCGAACGGGUGAGUAACACGUGGGCAGCCUGCCCCUCACUUCGGGAUAACUCCGGGAAACCGGGGCUAAUACCGGAUAUGACCUCCUUGGGCAUCCUUGGAGGUGGAAAGUUUUUCGGUGAGGGAUGGGCCCGCGGCCUAUCAGCUUGUUGGUGAGGUAGUGGCUCACCAAGGCGACGACGGGUAGCCGGCCUGAGAGGGGGACGGGCCACACUGGGAGUGAGACACGGCCCAGAAUCCUACGGGAGGGAGCCGUAGGGAAUCUUCCGCAAUGGACGAAAGUCUGACGGAGCAACGCCGCGUGAGUGAUGAAGGCUUUCGGGUCGUAAAACUCUGUUGUUAGGGAAGAACAAGUGCUAGUUGAAUAAGCUGGCACCUUGACGGUACCUAACCAGAAAGCCACGGCUAACUACGUGCCAGCAGCCGCCGUAA
rnacentral:rRNA from 1 species